CAGGCUUAACACAUGCAAGUCGAGGGGCAGCAUGGUCUUAGCUUGCUAAGGCCGAUGGCGACCGGCGCACGGGUGAGUAACACGUAUCCAACCUGCCGUCUACUCUUGGACAGCCUUCUGAAAGGAAGAUUAAUACAAGAUGGCAUCAUGAGUCCGCAUGUUCACAUGAUUAAAGGUAUUCCGGUAGACGAUGGGGAUGCGUUCCAUUAGAUAGUAGGCGGGGUAACGGCCCACCUAGUCUUCGAUGGAUAGGGGUUCUGAGAGGAAGGUCCCCCACAUUGGAACUGAGACGCGGUCCAAACUCCUACGGGAGGCAGCAGUGAGGAAUAUUGGUCAAUGGGCGAGAGCCUGAACCAGCCAAGUAGCGUGAAGGAUGACUGCCCUAUGGGUUGUAAACUUCUUUUAUAAAGGAAUAAAGUCGGGUAUGGAUACCCGUUUGCAUGUACUUUAUGAAUAAGGAUCGGCUAACUCCGUGCCAGCAGCCGCGGUAAUACGGAGGAUCCGAGCGUUAUCCGGAUUUAUUGGGUUUAAAGGGAGCGUAGAUGGAUGUUUAAGUCAGUUGUGAAAGUUUGCGGCUCAACCGUAAAAUUGCAGUUGAUACUGGAUAUCUUGAGUGCAGUUGAGGCAGGCGGAAUUCGUGGUGUAGCGGUGAAAUGCUUAGAUAUCACGAAGAACUCCGAUUGCGAAGGCAGCCUGCUAAGCUGCAACUGACAUUGAGGCUCGAAAGUGUGGGUAUCAAACAGGAUUAGAUACCCUGGUAGUCCACACGGUAAACGAUGAAUACUCGCUGUUUGCGAUAUACAGCAAGCGGCCAAGCGAAAGCGUUAAGUAUUCCACCUGGGGAGUACGCCGGCAACGGUGAAACUCAAAGGAAUUGACGGGGGCCCGCACAAGCGGAGGAACAUGUGGUUUAAUUCGAUGAUACGCGAGGAACCUUACCCGGGCUUAAAUUGCAGAUGAAUUACGGUGAAAGCCGUAAGCCGCAAGGCAUCUGUGAAGGUGCUGCAUGGUUGUCGUCAGCUCGUGCCGUGAGGUGUCGGCUUAAGUGCCAUAACGAGCGCAACCCUUGUUGUCAGUUACUAACAGGUUCCGCUGAGGACUCUGACAAGACUGCCAUCGUAAGAUGUGAGGAAGGUGGGGAUGACGUCAAAUCAGCACGGCCCUUACGUCCGGGGCUACACACGUGUUACAAUGGGGGGUACAGAGGGCCGCUACCACGCGAGUGGAUGCCAAUCCCCAAAACCUCUCUCAGUUCGGACUGGAGUCUGCAACCCGACUCCACGAAGCUGGAUUCGCUAGUAAUCGCGCAUCAGCCACGGCGCGGUGAAUACGUUCCCGGGCCUUGUACACACCGCCCGUCAAGCCAUGGGAGCCGGGGGUACCUGAAGUGCGUAACCGCGAGGAGCGCCCUAGGGUAAAACUGGUGACUGGGGCUAAGUCAUAAC
rnacentral:rRNA from 1 species